UGGAGAUCUCACAAUGGGCGAAAGCCUGAUGGAGCAACGCCGCGUGUGUGAUGAAGGGUUUCGGCUCGUAAAACACUGUUGUAAGAGAAGAAUGACAUUGAGAGUAACUGUUCAAUGUGUGACGGUAUCUUACCAGAAAGGAACGGCUAAAUACGUG
rnacentral:rRNA from 1 species